rnacentral:rRNA from 1 species
CCUACGGGUGGCAGCAGUGAGGAAUAUUGGUCAAUGGGCGAGAGCCUGAACCAGCCAAGUCGCGUGAGGGAGUACUGCCCUAUGGGUUGUAAACCUCUUUUGUCGGGGAGCAAAAGCCGGACGUGUCCGGCUGUGAGAGUACCCGAAGAAAAAGCAGCGGCGAACCCCGUGCCAGCAGCCGCGGUAAGACGGAGGAUGCGAGCGUUAGCCGGAUUUAGUGGGUUAAACGGGUGCGCAGGCGGAUUUUGAAGUUAGCGGUCAAAGCGUGGGGCUCAACCCCAUCCAGCCGUUGAAACUGGGGAUCUAGAGUGUGCGAGAGGUAUGCGGAAUGCGUGGUGUAGCGGUGAAAUGCAUAGAUAUCACGCAGAACCCCGAUUGCGAAGGCAGCAUACCGGUGCACAACUGACGCUCAGGCACGAAAGCGUGGGUAUCGAACAGGAUUAGAUACCCGAGUAGUC